rnacentral:rRNA from 1 species
UACGUAGGCAGCGAGCGUUGUUCGGAGUUAUUGGGCGUAAAGAGCUCGUAGGCGGUUUGUCGCGUCUGCCGUGAAAGUCCGGGGCUCAACUCCGGAUCUGCGGUGGGUACGGGCAGACUAGAGUGAUGUAGGGGAGACUGGAAUUCCUGGUGUAGCGGUGAAAUGCGCAGAUAUCAGGAGGAACACCGAUGGCGAAGGCAGGUCUCUGGGCAUUAACUGACGCUGAGGAGCGAAAGCAUGGGGAGCGAACAGG